rnacentral:rRNA from 1 species
GAUGAACGCUGGCGGCGUGCCUAAUACAUGCAAGUCGAGCGAACGGACGAGAAGCUUGCUUCUCUGAUGUUAGCGGCGGACGGGUGAGUAGCACGUGGAUAACCUACCUAUAAGACUGGGAUAACUUCGGGAAACCGGAGCUAAUACCGGAUAAUAUUUUGAACCGCAUGGUUCAAAAGUGAAAGACGGUCUUGCUGUCACUUAUAGAUGGAUCCGCGCUGCAUUAGCUAGUUGGUAAGGUAACGGCUUACCAAGGCAACGAUGCAUAGCCGACCUGAGAGGGUGAUCGGCCACACCGGAACUGAGACACGGUCCAGACUCCUACGGGAGGCAGCAGUAGGGAAUCUUCCGCAAUGGGCGAAAGCCUGACGGAGCAACGCCGCGUGAGUGAUGAAGGUCUUCGGAUCGUAAAACUCUGUUAUUAGGGAAGAACAUAUGUGUAAGUAACUGUGCACAUCUUGACGGUACCUAAUCAGAAAGCCACGGCUAACUACGUGCCAGCAGCCGCGGUAAUACGUAGGUGGCAAGCGUUAUCCGGAAUUAUUGGGCGUAAAGCGCGCGUAGGCGGUUUUUUAAGUCUGAUGUGAAAGCCCACGGCUCAACCGUGGAGGGUCAUUGGAAACUGGAAAACUUGAGUGCAGAAGAGGAAAGUGGAAUUCCAUGUGUAGCGGUGAAAUGCGCAGAGAUAUGGAGGAACACCAGUGGCGAAGGCGACUUUCUGGUCUGUAACUGACGCUGAUGUGCGAAAGCGUGGGGAUCAAACAGGAUUAGAUACCCUGGUAGUCCACGCCGUAAACGAUGAGUGCUAAGUGUUAGGGGGUUUCCGCCCCUUAGUGCUGCAGCUAACGCAUUAAGCACUCCGCCUGGGGAGUACGACCGCAAGGUUGAAACUCAAAGGAAUUGACGGGGACCCGCACAAGCGGUGGAGCAUGUGGUUUAAUUCGAAGCAACGCGAAGAACCUUACCAAAUCUUGACAUCCUUUGACAACUCUAGAGAUAGAGCCUUCCCCUUCGGGGGACAAAGUGACAGGUGGUGCAUGGUUGUCGUCAGCUCGUGUCGUGAGAUGUUGGGUUAAGUCCCGCAACGAGCGCAACCCUUAAGCUUAGUUGCCAUCAUUAAGUUGGGCACUCUAAGUUGACUGCCGGUGACAAACCGGAGGAAGGUGGGGAUGACGUCAAAUCAUCAUGCCCCUUAUGAUUUGGGCUACACACGUGCUACAAUGGACAAUACAAAGGGCAGCGAAACCGCGAGGUCAAGCAAAUCCCAUAAAGUUGUUCUCAGUUCGGAUUGUAGUCUGCAACUCGACUACAUGAAGCUGGAAUCGCUAGUAAUCGUAGAUCAGCAUGCUACGGUGAAUACGUUCCCGGGUCU